rnacentral:rRNA from 1 species
GAUGAACGCUGGCGGCGUGCCUAAUACAUGCAAGUCGAGCGAACAGAUGAGGAGCUUGCUCCUCUGACGUUAGCGGCGGACGGGUGAGUAACACGUGGAUAACCUACCUAUAAGACUGGGAUAACUUCGGGAAACCGGAGCUAAUACCGGAUAAUAUAUUGAACCGCAUGGUUCAAUAGUGAAAGACGGUUUUGCUGUCACUUAUAGAUGGAUCCGCGCCGCAUUAGCUAGUUGGUAAGGUAACGGCUUACCAAGGCAACGAUGCGUAGCCGACCUGAGAGGGUGAUCGGCCACACUGGAACUGAGACACGGUCCAGACUCCUACGGGAGGCAGCAGUAGGGAAUCUUCCGCAAGGGGCGAAAGCCUGACGGAGCAACGCCGCGUGAGUGAUGAAGGUCUUCGGAUCGUAAAACUCUGUUAUUAGGGAAGAACAAAUGUGUAAGUAACUAUGCACGUCUUGACGGUACCUAAUCAGAAAGCCACGGCAAACUACGU